rnacentral:rRNA from 1 species
UACGGAGGGUGCAGGCGUUAUCCGGAUUCACUGGGUUUAAAGGGUGCGUAGGCGGGCAGGUAAGUCAGUGGUGAAAUCUCCGGGCUUAACCCGGAAACUGCCGUUGAUACUAUCUGUCUUGAAUAUCGUGGAGGUAAGCGGAAUAUGUCAUGUAGCGGUGAAAUGCUUAGAUAUGACAUAGAACACCCAUUGCGAAGGCAGCUUACUACACGAUCAUUGACGCUGAGGCACGAAAGCGUGGGGAGCAAACAGG